UACGUAGGGUGCGAGCGUUGUCCGGAAUUACUGGGCGUAAAGAGCUCGUAGGGGGUUUGUCGCGUUGUUCGUGAAAACUCACAGCUUAACUGUGGGCGUGCGGGCGAUACGGGCAGACUGGAGUACUGCAGGGGAGACUGGAAUUCCUGGUGUAGCGGUGGAAUGCGCAGAUAUCAGGAGGAACACCGGUGGCGAAGGCGGGUAGCUGGGCUGACACUGACGCUGAUGCGCGAAAGCCAGGGGAGCGAACGGG
rnacentral:rRNA from 1 species